rnacentral:lncRNA from 1 species
UUGAGUAUGUUUGUUUUGUUCAUGCAUCGUUGACAAUGUAAUGGAAUUUGAUGCAACUGUCAUACAAGUGAGAGGUUUAGCUAGCUAUAAAACCAGGUUCAAUCCACCAUUUUCUACAUUAGAAAAUGCCUGUACCAAGUCAGGAAUAUGACAGUUGUUAUCCAUUCGUUUGAUGUGUUUGGACUUUUGAUGUUUGAUUUUCCUUUUUGAAUUUUCU